GAUCCCUACGGUUCUGAUCCUGGAACUUAAGGAGCAAUUCAAUGAUAAAGCAACCAUCAAGUAAAAGAUGACAACCAUCAUAACCCUGAUCCACAUGGCUGGAAUAACACUCCUGAACCUUCUUCCCAUUAACCUUAACUGAGAACAAUUCAGCUUUAGACAACUCCAACUGCUUCCAUGUAGCCAGUGGGUUCCUGUCUUUAGAAAUGAGGUCUCGCAGAUACCGUGUUUUCAAUUUAUCAUAGGCACGCAGUUUU
rnacentral:misc_RNA from 1 species